GGAGUUGUUUGCAAGAUGCACAAAAGUCACAAUAGUUAAUUCUCUAUGAUGCUAUUGCUGUGUGUAUAAAUUGUUCAGUAGAAUAUCAAUACAUGAGCAUGAGGAAAAUGGAAGGACAUAUCUACAGGUGUUAACAUGACAAAUAUGAGACAUGGGGUGCUGAUGUUAUAAAAGUUUGUAGGGGAAGAGUCUAUUGAUAAAAAACUGAAUGUAUGAUAUGAUCCCAUCUGUGAACAAUGAAAGAAGGAUGUAUGUAUAUACAUAUGCAUAAAAAGAUGGCUAAGGCUGG
rnacentral:lncRNA from 1 species